GUCAUAUCGUCAAUGGAUAACUUUACAGACAAAGAUGAAUUGUAAACUCUUUAGAGCAAACUGGAAUCUGAAAUAUAAUUUUUGUGUUUCUAGUAAAGAAAAUAACACUUAUUAAUGAAUUUUAAUAAGACCCCUUUAUAUUCCCUUGUGCCUGACAUCAGCAUUUACUACCAUUCUUUCCUUCGCAUAAAUAAAACAAAUGUAUCUAGACUUACAAAUGAAC